rnacentral:tRNA from 1 species
GGAUUAGCAGGGCGGGUUUCAAACCCGCCUGCCCUUAUAGUGGUCGGGACAGAGCAAUCCGCCCUAUGGUCGUCGGUUUUGUCCGACCAAAAUCG